ACACAGACUGGACACAACAUUUUCAGAAGGGAAACCAAUACAAUACAAGGACAAACAAAAGCUACCUGAUGUGUCAGAGCCAACAGAUGCUGAGAUCGCUACUUUCCUGGGAGAGCUACAUGCUACAGGUCCAGACACAGAUGCUUGUAUGCAAUAAGGAGUUUGCUGAUUUUGUUGUAUGGUCAGAAAAUGAUGUACACACAGAGAGGAUAGAACCAGAUAUUGGACUCUGGGAAGUAAUCAAGU